UUGACCUCGAAUCACGUAUGACUACCCGCUGAACUUAAGCAUAUCAAUAACCCGAAGA
rnacentral:rRNA from 1 species